rnacentral:lncRNA from 1 species
AAUAAGAUAUUGAAAACAAAACCCGUGAGUGAGUGAAUUCAUCACAGUAGAGUCCCUAAGCAGAAGCAGAAAGAGCAGCUUGAGUGGGUUAUAAAGGGUAAAAAAUGAAACAGAGUGGGCAUGGAUGGAGUUGGCAAGUGGGGAAAAAGGGUGUCCCUCUGGUUUUUUUGUGGGGUAAAAGAAAAAUGAAAAGACAUGCUAAAUAGUAUUUGUGAGAUGGGAUGGGGUUUAAAUUUUUGUAGUGAGAAAGGAGUCCUCCAUGGCUCCAUCCAACAUUUUCCCCAUUGUUUUGUUACUUUC